rnacentral:rRNA from 1 species
GGUCUUUUGUAUUAUAUUGUAAGAUUUAACCUGCCCACUGAGUUAUUAAAUGGCCGCGGUAUUUUGACCGUGCAAAGGUAGCAUAAUAAUUAGUUUUUUGAUUGAAAGCUGGAAUGAAUGGUUGGACGAAAAAAUCACUGUCUCUGAUUAAUUUUUUAUAAAAUUUUAUUUUUAAGUUAAAAAGCUUAAAUUUGAAUGAAAGACGAGAAGACCCUAUAGAGUUUAAUAUUUUAAAUUAGAUUUAAUUUUAGGAAUUUUAAUUUUAUUUUUUUUAUAAUAUUUUAUUGGGGUGAUAAAAAGAUUAAAUUAACUCUUUUUUUAUUUUUACAUUUAUAUAUGAUAAUUUGAUCCAUUAUUUAUGAUUACAAGAAAAAAUUACCUUAGGGAUAACAGCGUAAUCUUUUUAGAGAGUUCUUAUCGAAAUAAGGGAUUGCGACCUCGAUGUUGGAUUAAAGUUAAUUUCUGGUGUAGAAGCUGGAAUAUUGAGUCUGUUCGACUUUUAAAACUUUACAUGAUCUGAGUUUAAACCGGUGUGAGCCAGGUUGGUUUCUAUCUUUAUUAAUAUAAAAUAUUUUAGUACGAAAGGACCGAAUAUUUAAUAAAUUAUUUUUGUAAUGAAUUUUAUUAAUGUUACUUUGGCAGAUUAGUGCGUUAGAUUUAGAAUCUUUUUAUGUGAAGUUUUUACAGGUAAUAUUUGUAUGUAUUUGAUGUUAUUUUGCUUUUUUUGAGUAUAUUGAUUUUAGUUGUUUGUGUUUUAAUUGGGGUUGCUUUUUUUACAUUAUUUGAGCGUAAAAUUUUAGGAUAUAUUCAAAUU